rnacentral:rRNA from 1 species
GUGAGGAAUAUUGGUCAAUGGGCGGGAGCCUGAACCAGCCAAGUCGCGUGAAGGAAGAAGGAUCUAUGGUUCGUAAACUUCUUUUGCAGGGGAAUAAAGUGCAGGACGUGUCCUGUUUUGUAUGUACCCUGAGAAUAAGGAUCGGCUAACUCCGUGCCAGCAGCCGCGGUAAUACGGAGGAUCCGAGCGUUAUCCGGAUUUAUUGGGUUUAAAGGGUGCGUAGGUGGUUUGAUAAGUCAGCGGUGAAAGUUUGCAGCUUAACUGUAAAAAUGCCGUUGAAACUGUCGGACUUGAGUGUAAAUGAGGUAGGCGGAAUGUGUGGUGUAGCGGUGAAAUGCAUAGAUAUCACGCAGAACUCCGAUUGCGAAGGCAGCUUACUAAGCUACAACUGACACUGAAGCACGAAAGCGUGGGGAUCAAACAGGAUUAGAAACCCGGGUAGUCC